CCGGGCGUUCCACAGAGGCUAUAUGGGCUUGUUUUGGAAACAAGUGUUCGCAGGUUCGAAUCCUGCUGUCCGGACCA
rnacentral:tRNA from 1 species